UGAAUACGAGACGCUACGGCGUCGAAGCAGUCUAUGUCAGACUUCCAAGAAAAGCUCGCAAUGUCAUAAACAAAUAAUGCCUGUACCAUAACCGACACAGGUGGGUAGGUAGAGUAUACUAAGGGGCGCGAGAUAACUCUCUCUAAGGAACUCGGCAAAAUGACUCCGUAACUUCGGGAGAAGGAGUGCCUUAUUUAUAAGGUUGCAAUAACAAGAUCCAAGCAACUGUUUACCAAAAACACAGGUCUCCGCUAAGUCGUAAGACGAUGUAUGGGGGCUGACGCCUGCCCAGUGCCAGAAGGUUAAAGAAGUUGGUCAGCAUUCGCGAAGCUGAUAACUGAAGCCCUGGUGAACGGCGGCCGUAACAAUAACGGUCCUAAGGUAGCGAAAUUCCUUGUCGGGUAAGUUCCGACCCGCACGAAAGGCGUAAUGAUUUGGAUACUGUCUCGGAGAGGGGCUCGGUGAAAUAGACUUGUCUGUGAAGAUGCGGACUACCUGCACCUGGACAGAAAGACCCUAUGAAGCUUUACUGUAACUUGAAAUUGAAAUUGGACUUUAUUUGCGCAGCAUAGGUGGGAGGCGUUGAGAGUAUUCUUGCGGGAAUAUUGGAGCCAUCAGUGAGAUACCACUCUUGUAAUGUUAGAUUUCUAACUUUGUAUCAUUAUCUGGUCAAAGAACAGUUUCAGGCGGGCAGUUUGACUGGGGCGGUCGCCUCCCAAACGGUAACGGAGGCGUACAAAGGUUUCCUCUGAACGGGUAGAAAUCGUAUCUAGAGUGUAAAGGCAUAAGGAAGCUUGACUGUGAGACCUACAAGUCGAGCAGGGACGAAAGUCGGUCUUAGUGAUCUGACGGUGCUGAGUGGAAGGGCCGUCACUCAACGGAUAAAAGUUACUCUAGGAUAACAGGCUGAUCUCCCCCAAGAGUUCACAUCGACGGGGAGGUUUGGCACCUCGAUGUCGGCUCAUCGCAUCCUGGGGCGGUAGUACGUCCCAAGGGUUGGGCUGUUCGCCCAUGAAAGCGGUACGCGAGCUGGGUUCAGAACGUCGUGAGACAGUUCGGUCAUAUCCGGUGUAGGCGUUAGAAUAUUGAGAGGAGCCUUCUUUAGUACGAGAGGACCGAGAAGGACAUACCUCUGGUGUACCAGUUAUCGUGCCAACGGUAAACGCUGGGUAGCUAUGUAUGGAGAGGAUAACCGCUGAAAGCAUCUAAGUGGGAAGCCCACCUCAAGAUAAG
rnacentral:rRNA from 1 species